CGAACGGGUGAGUAACGCGUGAGGAACCUGCCUCAAAGAGGGGGACAACAGUUGGAAACGACUGCUAAUACCGCAUAAGCCCACGGCUCGGCAUCGAGCAGAGGGAAAAGGAGCAAUCCGCUUUGAGAUGGCCUCGCGUCCGAUUAGCUAGUUGGUGAGGUAACGGCCCACCUAGUCUUCGAUGGAUAGGGGUUCUGAGAGGAAGGUCCCCCACAUUGGAACUGAGACACGGUCCAA
rnacentral:rRNA from 1 species